UCCCCUGUAGCUCAAUCGGUAGAGCGCCCGACUGUUAAUCGGGAGGCAGCAGGAUCGUAGCCUGCCGGGGGAG
rnacentral:tRNA from 1 species